rnacentral:rRNA from 1 species
GAAACAGGGANGGUUUCCUUCAGUUCGGCUGGACCGGAGACAGGGUGCUGCAUGGCUGUCGUCAGCUCGUGUCGUGAGAUGUUGGGUUAAGUCCCGCAACGAGCGCAACCCUCGCCCUUAGUUGCCAUCAUUCAGUUGGGCACUUUAAGGGGACUGCCGGUGAUAAGCCGGAGGAAGGUGGGGAUGACGUCAAGUCCUCAUGGCCCUUACGGGCUGGGCUACACACGUGCUACAAUGGCGGUGACAGAGGGAUGCAAAGGGGCGACCCUUCGCAAAUCUCAAAAAGCCGUCUCAGUUCGGAUUGGGGUCUGCAACUCGACCCCAUGAAGUUGGAAUCGCUAGUAAUCGCAGAUCAGCACGCUGCGGUGAAUACGUUCCCGGGCCUUGUACACACCGCCCGUCACACCAUGGGAGUUGGCUUUACCUGAAGACGGUGCGCUAACCGCAAGGAGGCAGCCGGCCACGGUAGGGUCAGCGACUGGGGUGAAGUCGUAACAAGGUAACCGU